rnacentral:lncRNA from 1 species
AUGCCCUGUCAUGUCCUGCCCCAAACUCUUUCUGCUGUGAUGUUUCUGAUCAGGUCUGAUUUUGUUUCUGGCUGUGUGUUGCAGGAUGUUCACCUCUUCUGUCUACGGUCCUGUUUUCUUUUGCAUCAGUUUGCUGAGUGCAUACUCGGUGCGUCCCACCACUGGCACAAGAAGAAGAGCCGUAAACAAGACAUCCUGAAUAAGCUUUGCUGUCAAUGUGGGUUUGUGGAAACAGAUGACCUACAAUGGAUUGCCUGCAAUAGUUGCAACAAGUGGUUCCAUCAGGGAUGCGUCAACUCUCCAGCAGUGGACAAAGAAUAGGAAUGUGUUGUGUGCAUUGUCUAAAGUGUUUUCAUUAUUUUAUUUUUAUUUCAUUGUGUUGAAAUGCCCUUUUUUAUACUUUUAUUUAUAUUUUUUGCUGUAUGUUCAAUUGAUCUUUUUAAAACUGUACAUAGUUCCAUGUUGACUUUUUAUUAAAUUAUUUGAAUUAAAUUGCUUUUGCCUAAUUAAUUACUGUAGCAUAAAUUGUUUUACUUAUUAUAUGUAUGUGCGAAUUAUAUUUGACCCAUAUUACAUGUUUGAUUUAAAUAUUAAAAUGUAAUAGAUCUGACAAUUUUUUUCAAAACACAUAACUUUAUCUGGCAUAAAAUAUUUGUAUGUGUUUUAUUUGAAACUGCAAUAAAUUGUCCUUCCACUGUUA